GGUUUGACGAAGCAGAUGGUAAACAUGUUAGCGGUUACAUUUAUGUAUGUGACAGCGCAGUGUCAUACAAUGGUUUACAAAAUGCAGAUGACAGUUGUUAGUUUAGGCAUGUUAUAUACAUGGUGUUUUCUGCUGGUGUCUUCGUCUGAGAUUUUUGUUUUGGUGGCAAGCUAUAUUAACUAUAUACAAUAGCUUUGGUGUGAAGGGUUAGGCUUAGGGAGUAGAGUGUCAGUCCCCCGCCUCUUGGGGCGUGCGGCCGCACACCCGCUCCCUUCUGUGUUCUGCGGAAUGUUGGCAGGUUUUUAUUUGUCUUUCCUCUCCUGCCGACUUUCAGGUCUAGGGUGCUUGCCUUCAAUAGAUAGGUAGAAAAGAAAAGAG